AUCAUCAUGAAGGUCCUUCUCCUGUUACUCUUCGUCAUUGGAUUGGCAGCAGCUGAUGCCUGGCCUGGGAGGAUAUAUAGAAGUGCUGAUCCCGGGCUCAAGGCACGUGAAGCAUAUCUUGGAGUGGAUUAUAUAAAGCUCAAGGCACGUGAAGCGUCUCCUGGACGUGCCGCGCGAGCUGUGUGCCUUAUUGGAGCAAUACCAUACCAGUGUUGACAGAAGACGCCAUGAAGGGUGACGAGCGACAAUAAAAGCACCUGGUAAUAAAGCUCGAAAUGAC